GACGUAGGGCGCGAGCGUUGUCCGGAUUUAUUGGGCGUAAAGCGCUCGUAGGCGGCUCGUUGCGUCGGCUGUGAAAACCCGCAGCUCAACUGUGGGCUUGCAGCCGAUACGGGCGGGCUGGGAUUCGGUAGGGGAGACUGGAAUUCCUGGUGUAGCGGUGAAAUGCGCAGAUAUCAGGAAGAACACCCGUGGCUAAGGCGGCUCGCUAGUACGGUACUGACGCUGAGACGCGAAAGCGUGGGGAGCGAACAGG
rnacentral:rRNA from 1 species